GGGGUGGUGGCGCAGUUGGAUAGCGCAUAGGUCUCAAGGCCGAGGUCGAGAGUUCGAGACUCCCUCACCCCA
rnacentral:tRNA from 1 species